GGGGACCAUUGCCAAGGUCAGCGGCAGGCGCGCAAAUUGUCCACUG
rnacentral:rRNA from 16 species